CCAUAUGUUACAGUGUAGCACUUCCAUCAAACACUACUCUUAAUUUAGUGCUGAUAUUCUCUGGUCGCACUACAGCAUGAUGAGGUCAUAUGAUUGUGUGAAACGCUUUUCCAUCUGUUGCAGACGACGCAGCGCUACAAGUUUAGUGUCACCGAGCGCUGUUGGUGGAGUUUCUCGAAAAGCAUGCACGUCGGCACCCAACAAAAUAUCAAUAUGCCUUGGCUUGUAAUACUCUGGAUCUGCUAGAUCUAAAGACAUUGUAGAAGGCCAGGCAUCUUGUGCGAAUUCCCUUGAAGGUAGUAAUGAAGUAAGUUUUUUAAGUAUAUAAGCUUUAACUUCAAUUGGUUGUGUACAUUGCUUAGUAGAUUGUAUUGUAAAUUUCACCAUAGACCUUAUUGUAACCACUGUUGAAUUGGAUACACCAGUGACUUUGCCAUGCACAGGAAUACGGUCCAGUUGUAAUAG